UGUACUUUGUACCCAUGCUCACGUCUCUUCUCGCGAAAGUGUUAUUUUUCGCGCGUAUUUCUUUCCGCACAAUUCAUUCAGCAUCUAUCUCUCGACAAGAUUUUAGACUUCGGAUGCUCACGACUUCAUAACAUCUUGGAAAAGGCAAAGGAAUUUUCUGGGUUAUAUAAGUUUCUGGAUGGUUGUACAUUUCGGACGGAUUUUUCUUGAAAUUUGGUGAUUCGUUUUCGAAAUGAGAAAAAUAUAUUUUAAUCGUCGAUUUCAUCUCACGCAAAAAUAUGGAAUUUACUGGAGUGUGCGGACAAAUUUUGGACGAAUUUCCCGAAAUUUGGUGAUAUCGAUUCGUCUAUGAAACAAGAGAAGUGUAUUCCAAUCACUUUACAAAUAUGAAACAAGUGUGCAAGUGUGCAAGUGCAAGUGUUCGAGUAGUGUUUGUGAUAAACGAUUAAAAACAUUGAGGAAGUUUCCUGUAUUUUGGAGCUGACACGAGCGAUGGGUCCCCGCAUGUUUG